AAAGGCACAAGAACAUUUUAUCCAUGGCUGGCAGUCCAUGUAAAGUGCUGGUUUAGAUAGAGGUGUUCAUCUGUGAGCAUUUAGAUAUAAUGAAGGUGUCAUGGACAGAAAAUUCUUAUUUUGAUGUCUUGAAGCUCUGGUCUUCAGUCCCAGUUUCUGCUUUUACCAAUGGGGUAGACUUGCACCUGUCAUCUCUGUCUCCAAAGGUCGUCCAGGGGCUGUUUAUAUGAAGACUGAAGACUGUCCUAUGGACACAGGAUGCAGAGCAAGAAAGGAAGGGAGGCCCUGAGUUUAGUUCCCAGGACCCAUGUCUGGUGGCUCACAACUACCUGUAACACCAGUUCUAGAAGACCUUCUUCUGUCUUCUAAUCCACGUUAAAAAUGGCCGGUGAUGCUGGUACAUGCUUGUCAUUAUAGCCCUGGAGAUGUGGAGACAACAGCAUUCCUGAGACUCCUUGGCCAGCCAGCCUAGCCU